CGACCGGCGCACGGGUGAGUAACACGUAUGCAACCUGCCCUCCGCAGGGGGAUAACCCGGAGAAAUCCGGACUAAUACCGCGUGGUACAUCUGUGGGGCAUCCCACUGGUGUUAAAAGGAAGCGAUUCCGGCGGAGGAUGGGCAUGCGGCGCAUUAGCUAGUUGGCGGGGUAACGGCCCACCAAGGCGACGAUGCGUAGGGGUUCUGAGAGGAAGGUCCCCCACACUGGUACUGAGACACGGACCAGACUCCUACGGAAGGCAGCAG
rnacentral:rRNA from 1 species